GACGAACGCUGGCGGCGCGCCUAACACAUGCAAGUCGAACGAGCGAGAGAGAGCUUGCUUUCUUGAGCGAGUGGCGAACGGGUGAGUAACGCGUGAGGAACCUGCCUCUAAGAGGCGGACAACAGUUGGAAACGACUGCUAAUACCGCAUAAGCUCACGGUACCGGCUGGCACAGAGGGAAAAGGAGCAAUCCGCUGUGAGUUGGCCGCGCAUCCGAUUAGCAAGAUGUUGAGGUUACGGCACAUCAAGGCGAGGAUCGCUAGCCGGACCGAGAGGGUGAACGCACACAUCGGGGCUGAGACACGGCCGAGACUCCUACGGGAGGCAGGAGUGGGGAACAGUGCACAAUGGGGGAAACGCUGAUGCAGCGCGGACGGGUGGAGGAAGAAGGUCGUCGGAUUGUAAAGUCCUGUUGUUGGGGAAGAUAAUGACGGUACCCAACAAGGAAGUGACGGCUAACUACGUG
rnacentral:rRNA from 1 species